AUGGCUCAGAUGCUCUCCGCCAUGACCAUGAUGGACACCGUCCCCACCGCCCCCGCCAUUCUGCCCACCCAGGCCAUCUGCCUGGACGCGCCGGUGUCGGGCUCGGGCAUCGCCGUACUGUCGAGGCAGGCCGUGCGCCCGGACGGCCCGCCGUCGGCGAUCGGGGACCUCACGCUCUCCGUCUCCGACCUGCCCAUGCUGUCCUGCCACUACAUUCAGAAGGGCCUCUUCUUCCCCGCCCCCGACGUCCCCAUGGCCUCGCUCGUCUCGCUCCUCGUGUCGUCGCUCUCCCGCGCGCUCGCCGUCUUCCCGGCCCUCGCCGGCCGCUUCGUCACCCUCCCCGACGACCGCAUCGUCAUCCGCUGCAACGACGCCGGCGUCGAGUUCCACCACGCCGUGGCGCCAGCCCUGUCGCUCAACGACUUCCUCGUGCCCAACGCCGACGUCCCGACCAGGCUGACCAAGGACCUGUUCCCUAUGGACCGCACUGUGAGCUACGAGGGCCACCGCCGCCCUCUCACGUCGUUCCAGCUCACCGUGCUCGGCGAUGGCGCCGUCUUCAUCGGCAUCGUCGCCAACCACGCCGUGGUGGACGGCACUUCCUUCUGGCACUUUUAUAACACCUGGGCCACCCUUUGCCGCGGUGCGUCGCCCAAGCUGCCGGACUUCCGCCGCAACUUCUUUGGUGAGUCAACGGCCGUCCUCCGCUUUGCCGGCGGCGUGGGCCCCGCCGUGACCUUUGACGCGGACGCGCCUCUUCGCGAGAGAAUCUUCCACUUCAGCAGGGACGCAAUUCGCGAGCUCAAGGCGAUAGCCAACCGUCGGUCGAGCGCCGGUCAAGAAGCCGAGGUUUACGGCAAGAUGGCGCAUGACCCCAAGAACCAGGAGGCGCGCAGCGAGAUCUCGUCGUUCCAGUCACUGUGCGCGCAGAUAUGGAUCUCGACGACGCGCGCGCGGAAGCAGCUCGACGCCGGCGCCACGGCGACGCUGCGCCUGGCGGUGAACUGCCGCCACCGGCUGCGCCCGGCGAUCUCCCCGGCCUACUUCGGCAACGCCAUCCAGAGCGCGCCGACGACGGCGACGGUGGCAGAGCUGGCGUCCAACGACCUGCGGUGGGCUGCGUCCAGGUUGCACGCCAGCCUGGCGGCGUACGGGGACGAGGCGAUACGCGGCGUCGCGGCGGCGUGGCAGGCGGCGCCCCGGUGCUUCCCGCUUGGCAACCCGGACGGCGCGGUGGUGACGAUGGGCAGCUCCAACCGGUUCCCGAUGUACGAGGGCAACGACUUCGGGUGGGGCCGCCCCCUGGCGGUGCGCAGCGGGCGCGCCAACAAGUUCGACGGCAAGAUGUCGGCGUUCCCGGGCCGCUCCGGCGACGGCAGCGUGGACAUCGAGGUGUGUCUCGCCCCGGACACCAUGGCGGCGCUGCUCCGCGACGACGAGUUCAUGCAGUACGUGUCGUGCCCGGCGCACCUGUUGUGA
rnacentral:rRNA from 1 species